AGCGAACGCUGGCGGCAGGCUUAACACAUGCAAGUCGAACGCCCCGCAAGGGGAGUGGCAGACGGGUGAGUAACGCGUGGGAAUCUACCCAUCCCUACGGAACAACUCCGGGAAACUGGAGCUAAUACCGUAUACGCCCUUAGGGGGAAAGAUUUAUCGGGGAUGGAUGAGCCCGCGUUGGAUUAGCUAGUUGGUGGGGUAAAGGCCUACCAAGGCGACGAUCCAUAGCUGGUCUGAGAGGAUGAUCAGCCACAUUGGGACUGAGACACGGCCCAAACUCCUACGGGAGGCAGCAGUGGGGAAUAAUGGACAAUGGGCGCAAGCCUGAUCCAGCCAUGCCGCGUGAGUGAUGAAGGCCUUUGGGUUGUAAAGCUCUUUCACCGAUGAAGAUAAUGACGGUAGUCGGAGAAGAAGCCCCGGCUAACUUCGUGCCAGCCGCCGCAGUAAAAC
rnacentral:rRNA from 1 species